AUUGAACGCUGGCGGCAUGCCUUACACAUGCAAGUCGAACGGCAGCACGGGAGCAAUCCUGGUGGCGAGUGGCGAACGGGUGAGUAAAGUAUCGGAACGUGCCCAGUCGUGGGGGAUAACGUAGCGAAAGUUACGCUAAUACCGCAUACGAUCUAUGGAUGAAAGCGGGGGAUCGCAAGACCUCGCGCGAUUGGAGCGGCCGAUAUCAGAUUAGGUAGUUGGUGGGGUAAAGGCUCACCAAGCCGACGAUCUGUAGCUGGUCUCAGAGGACGACCAGACACAGUGGGACUGAGACACGGCCAAGACUCCUAAGGGAGGCAGCAGGGGGGAAUUUUGGACAAUGGGCGAAAGCCUGAUUCAGCCAUGCCGCGUGCAGGAUGAAGGCCUUCGGAUUGUAAACUGCUUUUGUACGGAACGAAAAGGUUUGGCCUAAUAAGCUGAGCUCAUGACGGUACCGUAAGAAUAAGCACCGGCUAACUACGUGCCAGCCGCCGCAGUAA
rnacentral:rRNA from 1 species